GUCAUAUACACAUGCAAGUAUCCGCCCCCCUGUGAAAACGCCCUUAACCCCCUCCCAGGAACAAGGAGCUGGUAUCAGGCACAUACAUGCCCAAAACACCUAGCUAUGCCACACCCACAAGGGAAUUCAGCAGUGAUUAACAUUGAGAAUUAGCGCAAGCUUGACUCAGUCAAAGUAACAUAGAGCCGGCUAAUCUGGUGCCAGCCGCCGCGGUUACACCACGUGGCUCAAAUUGACCCUAUUCGGCGUAAAGCGUGAUUAAAGGAGUUAAACUAAAACUAAGCCGUAGCACGCCUGUUUAUUAAGAAACUCUAAAACGAAAGUUACUCUAAUUUAAUCAACUUGAAUUCACGACAGCUGAGGAACAAACUGGGAUUAGAUACCCCACUAUGCUCAGCCGUAAACUUUAAAUUACAUUCCAUCGCCAGGGAACUACGANNNNNNNNNNNNNNNNNNNNNNNNNNNNGGGCCCCACAUCCCCCUAGAAGGAGCCUGUCCUACAAUCGAUAAUCCCCGUUUAACCUCACCAUUUCUAGUUAAUCAGCCUGUAUACCUCCGUCGUCAGCUUACCACGUGAGCGUCAAUUAGUGAGCCUAAUGUUUUUCACCAACACGUCAGGUCAAGGUGCAGUAAAUGAAAUGGAAAGAGAUGGGCUACACUUUCUAUUUUAGAAGAAACGGAAAACUACCUAUGAAACCUAGUUGGAAGGCGGAUUUAGCAGUAAAAAGGAAUCAGAACAUCCAUUUUAACUCGGCACUGGGGUGUGUACACACCGCCCGUCACCCUCUUCAAAGCUACAAUAAGUAUCAACUAACUAAAGCACAACAGAAGAGGCAAGUCGUAACAUGGUAAGUAUACCGGAAGGUGUGCUUGGAAACGCAAUGUAG
rnacentral:ncRNA from 1 species